GGAAAUACUAAGCGUUGUGAUCUUCUCUACACGGCCGGGAUUACAGCUGCGUCUUCAGGGCUGUACGCUUACUUUUUAAAAUGGUAGCACUGGUGCUAGCAAACAAAAAAAUUCAGUAGCACAAAAAUAAUUUUGGUAGCACACAUACUAUAGUCAAAAAUAUAAAAAAUAUUCUGAUACAACUGAACAGAUUAGGACGUGUAUAUACAAAAGUAACACAAUAUGAACAAAUUCAACAACAGUAAAGUGACUGAACAUAUUAAAUAGUAAAGUGACUAUGAGAGCCUCUUUUAAAACAUCAGCAGCCAGAAGUGGUGAACACAUUCAACAAAAUUAAGUAGUGGAUUUUUUUCAAAGUUUCCAUCUUUAUUUGAUGAAGAACUUCCGAAUACAGAGAAAUACCUUUUCAUUUUUCUGUUUUGCUUAAAAAGUGAAUUUCCCGCGACCGUUACAAAGCCCCUCCUCAACGUGCGAAUGUUCGGGAAAUGUCGUUUUUUAGUAGUUGAGCGGAACUGGCGAGCCUAUAAUUCAAAAUACAUUUCACUGCAUGCAUCGCUCCCAUCAUGCUCCCACACACUCGCGCUUAGUGGUGCCAUUGAAAGCCGUACAGAAAGACGUAUUUUUUUUCGGCACGGGUCCUUCUCACCCUUUCGCACCGGUGCGAGUGGACUUGUAUUUAUCUUUGCACGUUAUAUAUUUUAAUAGCAAAUGCGAUCAAAACUGUCGCACUGUACAGCCCUGGUCUUGCUGCGGUGAAAAUAGCCGACACAGUUGGUCGCUGCGGGUCUGCUUUCCCGAACCCACCGUUGUGUUUCAGGAGCAUAUGUUGCCGCAUAGUACUUACAAUCCACCUUAUGAUCUCCUAUUUCUUUAAAGUAUUUAAAUUCUUCGCUGCGCUUUGCUUUAACCAUCUCUUAACUUUUUGAAUUCUGGCGUGCCUGAACAAGGCACGGCACGCGCUAGGGAUGGGCCGAUAGUCGAUUCUAUCUACUAUCGACGAUAGAUAGAUUCCAUUGUCGAUCGUCUAAAGUUGCCGAUAAAAAGGCGAUAUUUCUUUUCAAAUAAUAAUAAAAAAAAAACAUAUGCCUAUGUUUAGGGUAUUGUGUGUGUGUGUGUGUGUGUGUGUGUGUGUGUGUGUGUGUGUGUGUGUGUGUGUGUGUGUGUGUGUGUGUGUGUGUGUGUGUGUGUGUGUUGACCAGAAUGGACAUCAACAACAACCCACUAACAGCCUAUCUUCUGUUUUUGUUGCACAUUGUUUGCGUCAUAUUCAGCUUUCAAGUUUCUAGAAUCUAUACCAGUAACUCCACUAACUUCUAGUAGUAGACCAAAUGUAAAUGUGUGAUCGUGGAGCCCUAACCAGGCUUUAACUCUGGCUACUGAUCCCAGGGUUACGGUCAGGGUUAGCUAACCCUAACCCUGACCCUAACCAGGCUUUAACUCUGGCUACUGAUCCCAGGGUUACGGUCAGGGUUAGCUAACCCUGACCCUAACCAGGCCUUAACUCUGGCUACUGAUCCCAGGGUUACGGUCAGGGUUAGCUAACCCUGACCCUGACCCUAACCAGGCUUUAACUCUGGCUACUGAUCCCAGGGUUAGGGUCAGGGUUAGCUAACCCUAACCCUGACCCUAACCAGGCCUUAACUCUGGCUACUGAUCCCAGGGUUACGGUCAGGGUUAGCUAACCCUAACCCUGACCCUAACCAGGCUUUAACUCUGGCUACUGAUCCCAGAGUUAGGGUCAGGGUUAGCUAAACCUUGACCAUAACCAGGCCUUAACUCUGGCUACUGAUCCCAGGGUUACGGUCAGGGUUAGCUAACCCUGACCCUGACCCUAACCAGGCUUUAACUCUGG
ensembl:lncRNA